GACGAACCGUGCGAACGUUGUUCGGAAUCACUGGGCUUAAAGGGCGCGUAGGCGGCUUGCCAAGUCAGGGGUGAAAUCCUGCAGCUUAACUGUAGAAGGGCCUUUGAUACUGGCGAGCUCGAGGGAGGUAGGGGUAUGUGGAACUUCCGGUGGAGCGGUGAAAUGCGUUGAUAUCGGAAGGAACGCCGGUGGCGAAAGCGACGUACUGGACCUCUUCUGACGCUGAGGCGCGAAAGCUAGGGGAGCGAACGGG
rnacentral:rRNA from 1 species